UUCGAAAAUGAAUCAAAACUUUCAACAACGGAUCUCUUGGUUCUGGCAUCGAUGAAGAACGCAGCGAAAUGCGAUAAGUAAUGUGAAUUGCAGAAUUCAGUGAAUCAUCGAAUCUUUGAACGCACAUUGCGCCCGCCAGUAUUCUGGCGGGCAUGCCUGUC
rnacentral:rRNA from 1 species